rnacentral:rRNA from 1 species
GAUGAACGCUAGCGGCAGGCUUAACACAUGCAAGUCGAGGGGCAGCAUAGAGUAGCAAUACUUGGUGGCGACCGGCGGAUGGGUGCGUAACGCGUAUGCAACCUACCUUACAUUGUGGGAUAACCCGGAGAAAUUCGGACUAAUACCACGUACGUGUGACUGAGGCAUCUCUUUCACAUCAAAGAUUUAUCGUUGUAAGAUGGGCAUGCGUGACAUUAGCUAGAUGGUGGGGUAACGGCUCACCAUGGCGACGAUGCCUAGGGGAACUGAGAGGUUUAUCCCCCACACUGGUACUGAGACACGGACCAGACUCCUAUGGGAGGCAGCAGUGAGGAAUAUUGGUCAAUGGACGGAAGUCUGAACCAGCCAUGCCGCGUGCAGGAUUAAGGCUCUAUGAGUUGUAAACUGCUUUUGUAUGCGGGUAAAGUGUGGUACGUGUACCAUAUUGAAAGUAGUAUACGAAUAAGGAUCGGCUAACUCCGUGCCAGCAGCCGCAGUAAAAC